UGUUCUGUGGCUUAGUUGGUUAAAGCGCCUGACUAGAGAUAAGGAAUCGUGGGUUCAUAUCUCAUCAAUACAA
rnacentral:tRNA from 1 species